rnacentral:rRNA from 1 species
UACUAGAGUUCGAUUCUGUUCUUAACUGAAUGGAGUAGCUAUCUUUCGGGGUAGUCAGUUGGUUAUUAUGUCUCCACUAAUGAGCAGAGAGGAGUAAAAUCUUCUAGUAAGUUAUGUGGGUCAGAUAUAGUGAUUAAUUGGAGUUCUAGUUCAUUUACUUUGAGAAAAUUAGAGUGUUUAAAGCAGCCUCUUGGGGCACUGAAUACAUUAGCAUGGGAUAAUAAAAUAGGAUCUUCACAAUAUAUUUUAUUGGUUUAAAUUGCGUAUGAAGAUAAUGAUUAAUAGGGACAGUUGGGGGUAUUCAUAUUGGGUGGUUAGCGGUGAAAUGCUCGGAUCCAUUCAAGAUGAACUAAAGCGAAAGCAUUUACCAAGGAUGUUUUCAUUAAUCAAGAACGAAAGUUAAGGGGAUCGAAGACGAUUAGAUACCGUCGUAGUCUUAACUAUAAACUAUGCCGACCAGGG